rnacentral:tRNA from 1 species
GGGCAUGUGGCGGAAUCGGCAGACGCGCCGGAUUUAGGAUCCGGUGGGGAAACCCGUGGAGGUUCGAGUCCUCUCUUGCCCA